rnacentral:rRNA from 1 species
UGACUGGUACUAAUAGGCCGAUGGAUGCCUUGGCACCAGGAACCGAUGAAGGACGUGGGAGGCCGCGAUAGGCCCCGGGGAGCUGUCAACCGAGCUUUGAUCCGGGGGUGUCCGAAUGGGGAAACCCGGCAGUCGUCAUGGGCUGUCACCCGUACCUGAAUAUAUAGGGUAUGUGGAGGGAACGCGGGGAAGUGAAACAUCUCAGUACCCGCAGGAAGAGAAAACAACCGUGAUUCCGGGAGUAGUGGCGAGCGAAACUGGAUGAGGCUAAACCAGUCAUGUGUGAUACCCGGCAGGGGUUGCGUGGUUGGGGUUGUGGGAUCGUACUUCGAUGAUCUGCCGGUCGUCGGGUGAGUUAGAAACCGUGAGUGUAGGCGAAGGGCAUGCGAAAGGCCCGGCGUAGAGGGUAAGACCCCCGUAGCUGAAACAUUUGCGGCUUGCUUGUACGACACCCAAGUAGCACGGGGCCCGAGAAAUCCCGUGUGAAUCUGGCGGGACCACCCGCUAAGCCUAAAUAUUCCCUGGUGACCGAUAGCGGAUAGUACCGUGAGGGAAUGGUGAAAAGUACCGCGGGAGCGGAGUGAAAUAGUACCUGAAACCGUGUGCCUACAAGCCGUGGGAGCGUCGCUAUGUCCUUUGGGGCAUGGUCGUGACUGCGUGCCUUUUGAAGAAUGAGCCUGCGAGUUUGCGGU